rnacentral:rRNA from 1 species
GGAUAACGCAAGGAAACCUGCGCUAAUACCGGAUACUCCUUCCCCUGCUCCUGCAGGGGUCGGGAAAGCCCAGACGGUAGGGGAUGGGGUCGCGGCCCAUUAGGUAGACGGCGGGGCAACGGCCCACCGUGCCUGCGAUGGGUAGCCGGGUUGAGAGACCGACCGGCCACAUUGGGACUGAGAUACGGCCCAGACUCCUACGGGAGGCAGCAGUGGGGAAUUUUGCGCAAUGGGGGGAACCCUGACGCAGCAACGCCGCGUGCGGGAUGAAGGCCUUCGGGUUGUAAACCGCUUUCAGCAGGGAAGAUAGUGACGGUACCUGCAGAAGAAGCCCCGGCUAACUACGUGCCAGCAGCCGCGGUAAUACGUAGGGGGCGAGCGUUAUCCGGAUUCAUUGGGCGUAAAGCGCGCGUAGGCGGCCCGUCAAGCGGAACCUCUAACCCGAGGGCUCAACCCCCGGUCGGGUUCCGAACUGGCAGGCUCGAGUUUGGUAGAGGAAGAUGGAAUUCCCGGUGUAGCGGUGGAAUGCGCAGAUAUCGGGAAGAACACCGAUGGCGAAGGCAGUCUUCUGGGCCAUCAACUGACGCUGAGGCGCGAAAGCUGGGGGAGCGAACAGGAUUAGAUACCCUGGUAGUCCCAGCCGUAAACGAUGGGUGCUAGGUGUGGGGGGAUCAUCCCUCCGUGCCGCAG